AAAGCCGGCCCAUCAGGAUUGUGCUGUGUGAAGUCUACAGAUGCAGAACUGCUCCAUGAGGGAAAUCGGAGGCAUUAAUUGGGAGAAAUGGGUCUUAGAGGAUUGCAGUCACUUAUUAUCUGGAUCAAUACUGACCUCACAUCUGGUCUUCAGGACUUCACAGUUUCAUGGGGCUAUCUUCUGACAUAAUCAGCAGAUCUGAAAUAAGACAAGCUCCUAGAUGAAAGCAAUUAUCUGUAAUACCAAGAAUAUGAGAGAUGGGCAAAACAUAUCAAAGGUCCUCGUGAACCAUUUACAGGAGGAUCACAGUGGCUGCCAUGAAAGGAAAUGAAUUAGAAGGCAUGUCCAACGAUUGACAAUAGACUUCCCAGGUUUUGACACUCAGAAGCUUUGAGCUCGAAAAAGCUGCUUCCUGCUGGAGAGAUCAGGUUUUACUCGUCACUGAUAAACAGCUGGCAUAAGUGAUUUCAUCUUGAUUACAGCAGCCUGGGAGCCAGAUGAUCCAAGCUGAUGUCUUUGUUGUUAGAAUUCUUCUGCCCAAAGCAUUCCCAGGAAGCCAGCCUCUCCUUCCUCCAGGUCCUCAAGGGAAAGGCCACUAAAGAUGGUACCCAGCAUGAGCUCCAAAACUGGAGAUGCUGGAACUUAGAUUCCUCUAACUCUCAAGGGUGUUUCGUCUGGGAGAACUUGGAGGUCCUCUCAAGGGUGAAUUUAAAUGGGGAUAAAGAUAUGUAGGUGAAUGGGUUUUCCCUGGAGCUGGACCAGCCUUGGGGGCACAGCUUGAACUUGCUUUGUUCAAUCUCCUCACUGCCCCAUGUUGUGAAUAUCCACUUGUCUGUUUUCAAAACCCACUGGAAGGGUUACAACCUAUCUCAAGAUGCUACAAGUGGGACUACAAUCAACUUACACUGAGCGGGGGGUAUACUGAGAAUUGCUGAGCAUCGUAUAAGCGGCUAAUGGCCCAGGUGCAACUGGACACCCCCUUGAGCCAUUAUCAUGGAUAUAGAGAGGCAUUUAGGAAAGUAUCAGCAGCAGCAGCAAAUUUUGUCUAACACAGGUUUGCGAAAGGACCUACAUCUCUACUCAAGAAAGAUUGCUUCUUACGCAGUUAAAAUAAAUCCUCCAUCUGUCUAAAAACCACUUACAUAAAGCGCCCCCUUCUCCCUCGCCUCCGCUGGUUCUUCAUCUGUGGGCCAGGCCAGGCUUUUGGCCAGCUACACCAGGCCCAUGGCAAAUGUGUGCACAGCCAUGCAGAGCCCAGAGCUAGCUGCUAGGGAGCAAAGCCCUUAGUGGAUAGCUUGCUCUAAACAUACAGAGAAGCAACAGUCACAUGGGUAGCUUGCUUCUCCCAUAUCUGUUAGCAUAGAGCUCUAUUUGCACCCCUGCUGCAUGCAGUUUGGAAGUAGAUAGAGUCUGAAAAUAUUACAUGUGUAUUACACUCACCCAGAGCAUGAUCCUGAGCAGAAUAGAGCAGUGGCUUCCUUGAAAAGGGCUUAAUCUUCCAUCCUGCUACCUACACACAGACACAAGCUCGUUUGUUCCUUUAAAGCUUGAAGAACCUGAGAGGGUUGUUUCCCAGGAUGGAUUUGCAGGCUCCAGGAUAACCCUGGGGGCUCUUGGCUGCCUACACCCCAGAGGCUCCGGAAAUGAUAGUGGGAAGUGGCUGGCAGGAGUGAGAGGGCAUAUGUGUCCCGGGUCAUGGCAGAGCUCCCCCAGACACACAACC